rnacentral:rRNA from 1 species
AUUGAACGCUGGCGGCAUGCCUAAUACAUGCAAGUCGAACGAGUGGCGGACGGGUGAAUAAGGUCGGGGAAACUGCCCGAUGGAGGGGGAUAACUACUGGAACCGGUGGCUAAUACCGCAUACCAUCGGAUGUGCCCAGAUGGGAUUAGCUAGUAGGUGGGGUAAUGGCUCACCUAGGCGACGAUCCCUAGCUGGUCUGAGAGGAUGACCGGCCACACUGGAACUGAGACACGGUCCAGACUCCUACGGGAGGCAGCAGUGGGGAAUCUUGGACAAUGGGCGCAAGCCUGAUGCAGCCAUGCCGCGUGUGUGAAGAAGGUUUUCGGGUCGUAAAGUACUUUCAGCGAGGAAGCGUUACCCGCAGAAGAAGCACCGGCUAACUCCGUGCCAGCAGCCGCGGUAAUAC